rnacentral:rRNA from 1 species
GACGAACGCUGGCGGCGUGCUUAACACAUGCAAGUCGAACGGAAAGGCCCUGCUUUGGUGGGGUGCUCGGGUUGCGAACGGGUGAGUAACACGUGGGUAACCUGCAAUUGACUUUGGGGUAAGUUCAGGAAACUGGGGCUAAUAGCGGCAAGGAUCUCCUGCUGCAUGGUGGGGGUUGGAAGGUUUCGGCGGUUGGGGAUGGACUCGCGGCUUAUCAGCUUGUUGGUGGGGUAGUGUCUUACCAAGACUUGGACGGGUAGCCUGGCUGAUCGGGUGACCGGCCACACCGGGAUUGGGCUGCGGCACAGACUCCUACGGGACGCAGCAGUGGGGAAUAUUGCACAAUGGGCUGAAGCCUGAUGCAGCCCCGCCGCGUCCCGUAUGACGGCCUUCGGUUUGUAUACCGCUUCCCUCUGUCCCGAAGUGUGAGUGACGGUACCGGGUAAAUAAGCACCGGCUAACUCCGUG